GCAGUGGGCGGGAUUAUCGCUGGUUUUAUUUAUAAAACGAGAGGAAAGUCCGGGCACCUCAGGCCAAAAUGCUGGAUAACGUCCAGGCGGCGAAAGCCGACGGAAAGUGCAACAGAGAGUAGACUGCCUUAAACUUUUUAAGUUUUAGUUCAAAUGUCUCGUAAAGGUUAUAAGCCUUGUGUUGCAUGUGCAGGUUUUGAAAAAGCGCAUACCGUGGAAACGUAAACGUAUAAAUAAUACGUGCGCCUCGCGAAAGCUAAGAUUUUUAAAAAAUGCCAUGCAGAUGACUUUUACGAGACAUUUGAAAGGUAACGGUGAAACGGUGCGGUAAAAGCGCACCACCAAUCUGGUAACAGUAUUGGGUAUGGUAAACCCCAUUUGGUGCAAGCGCAAAUAGGUUCUCCACCUUCUUUUAGAAGUAAGUGUGGCCUGCAUGAGAGAGAACGGGUAGCGUGCUUGAGCUUAUUGGUAACAAUAAGCCUAGAUGAAUGAUAGUCACCUUGGUAACAAGCGUACAGAACCCGGCUUACAAGUCCACUGCUUUA
rnacentral:RNase_P_RNA from 1 species